rnacentral:rRNA from 1 species
UACGAAGGGGGCUAGCGUUGCUCGGAAUCACUGGGCGUAAAGCGCACGUAGGCGGAUCUUUAAGUCAGGGGUGAAAUCCUGGAGCUCAACUCCAGAACUGCCUUUGAUACUGAAGAUCUUGAGUUCGGGAGAGGUGAGUGGAACUGCGAGUGUAGAGGUGAAAUUCGUAGAUAUUCGCAAGAACACCAGUGGCGAAGGCAGCUCACUGGCCCGAUACUGACGCUGAGGCACGAAAGCGUGGGGAGCAAACAGG